UUUGGUCGUUUUCUUCUCCUUCAAAGUAAUACAAAUGUUUCCUUAUCUUUUCAUCAGAUUGUAUUUUGAUUUGUUGGGAGUCACAUGAGUUCACAGCAGACGAUACAAAGUACAGCAGAACUUAAUACCCUUGACGUAACUUUAGUUCCGCUGUUUUAACCUCGAACCUCGUUACUGAGACAUGUUGGAUUUAUGGCUUUAUAGUGGCGUCCUCAAACCUUUGCUCCAUCUUAUCUUAUCACUUGAUACGGUUAUGGGUGCGUGUUCUGGUGAAGCCCAGCCCUGACCAUCAUAAAGGUUUUAGGUGUAGUUAGAUAUUGUUUAAAGCCUCCUUCCUCAUUCCAUCGGUCUUCACUAAGGAGCCCAGCAGCUCAAUCUUUACUCUCAGAACCUUUAGAACCGUGUUCACGUUCUGUCUCGGUACAGAAUACUUCCUUUGUGAUUUGGCGAAUACCUGAAUCUCUUCAUUCAACGGAUCUUACUUUCCAUCCUUUUGUGCUUUUAUAUUUUCAUACGACACGGGGCAGCACACGUUUUCAUCAAAGAGAGGCUAAGGUCUCCAGUCUACUAUGGAUGAGGAGAGAGAGGAGGGGGGUCCUACCUCUAAGACCACUCUGUCUGGGGAACAUGGCCGCCGGAGCAAAGCUAAGAGCCCAGAGCAACAGCAGAGAGCAGACCCCCCUGGAACCAGCUGUGUCUCCAUGAAGAGUGACCGCUCUAUGGGUCAUCCUCCUGAAUUUAAAG